GAGAGACGUAAGGUCGGCGGAGAAUGCGCGGGUCGAGUGCUGUAGUUCGAUUUUUGCGUGUGUGCGUUGCUUGCGGCCUUUGUGCCUUUUUAUUCUUUGCUUACCUUUAUGAUAUAAAGACCUUAUUUCUUACAAGGAGGAAAAGACCGCUGACUUCAGAAACAGCGGGAACCCCAGCUCGUCCCCGCAUUCCCAGUUUACAGCUGAGGAAAUUAAGCUUCAAGUUGCCCAAGUUUAUAGAAUGAGUCAAUGGCAGAGGUUGAACUCAGAUGACAAAAUUGGGGUCUGGACGUGUGCAAGGACUUUUCCAAAGUCAGCUGGAAAGGAGCUGCUUAGCUGAGAGGUUCUGGCUCCAGAGUCUCCUGUGAAGUUGCAGUCAAGAUGUCUGCUGGGACCCCAGUCAUUUGAAGCCCUGUCUGGGGCAGGAGAAUCUAGGUCCAAAAUGGCCGUUGCAGGAGUCCUUAUCCACACCAUGUGGGACCUCUUCAUAGAUGUUCGAGUGUCCUCAUGGCAUGGCCACUGGCUUUCCCCAAAGUAAGCAGUCCAAAAGAGGGUAAGACAGAGCCCACACUGUCUUUUAUGAAUUAGCCUUAGAAGUCUAACACGGUUACUUCCACCACAUUCAUUAGUCGUUAGGUACAGCUCACAUUCAUGGGGAGGAAAAUCAGGGCCUGUCUUUAGAUAGGAGAUGUAUCAAAGAAUUUGUGGACAUAUUUUAAAAUCACAGCACUACUCUUGAUGUACUAAGUCAGUGACUCCCCCAGGAGUCUCACAGAGAAUUGACUCCUUGCCCACCUAUACUACCUUUGUGGGUAGAGACUCCAGUAGUGUGCUGGUUAAUGUUCAACCAGUGGCUUUCUAGAAAACAAAAUGUAUGGAUACAUAUAUAUGUUCUAAGUUUUACUGAUAUGAAGAAUGUGUAGCACAGAAUUUAUAAAUAAUAAAAUAUACAGUAUUAUUUAUUGUAAAUUCCAUAAAACCUGUUGUUUUUCACAAAAGGUUUUAGUUUAUUUUUCCCAAAUGCUUGUAUUGGUAACAUUUUCUGUAUUACCUUUU
rnacentral:lncRNA from 1 species